AUUGAACGCUGGCGGCAGGCUUAACACAUGCAAGUCGAGCGAGCGGCGGACGGGUGAGUGAUGUCUGGGAAACUGCCUGAUGGAGGGGGAUAACUACGGGAAACGGUGGCUAAUACCGCAUACCAUCAGAUGUGCCAACGUGGGAUUAGCGAGUAGGUGGGGUAAAGGCUCACCAAGGCGACGAUGCCUAGCUGGUCUGAGAGGAUGACCAGCCACACUGGAACUGAGACACGGCCCAGACUCCUACGGGAGGCAGCAGUGGGGAAUAUUGCACAAUGGGCGAAAGCCUGAUGAAGCCAUGCCGCGUGUGUGAAGAAGGCCUUCGGGUUGUAAAGCACUGUCAGCGAGGAGGCGUUACUCGCAGAAGAAGCAACGGCUAACUCCGUGCCAGCCGCCGCGGUAAUAC
rnacentral:rRNA from 1 species